rnacentral:ncRNA from 1 species
AGGUACCGCUCUCCCAACUGUUGGCCCCACUCGGUACAAGUGGCCGGCUGGCAUGU